ACGCUCGACACCUACGGAGGCAGCAGUAGGGAAUCUUCCGCAAUGGCGAAAGUCUGACGGAGCAACGCCGCGUGAACGAUGAAGGUUUUCGGAUCGUAAAGUUCUGUUGUUAGGGAAGAACAAACUUCGUUUGAAUAAGGCGGAGUCAUGACGGUACCUAACGAGAAAGCCACGGCUAACUACGUGUCAGCAGCCGCGGUAAUCUGAGCGGGCUGGCAAGGC
rnacentral:rRNA from 1 species